rnacentral:rRNA from 1 species
AGCAGCCGCGGUAAUUCCAGCUCCAAUAGCGUAUAUUAAAGUUGUUGCAGUUAAAAAGCUCGUAGUUGAAUUUCGGGAUUGACACAUCGGUCGUGCCUUAAGGGGCAUGAACUGGUGUAGUCAAUUUCUCACCUUCUGGAGAACCGCGAUGCCCUUAAUUGGGUGUCACGGGGAACCAGGACCUUUACUUUGAAAAAUUAGAGUGUUUAAAGCAGGCAUUUUGCUUGAAUAUAUUAGCAUGGAAUAAUAAAAUAGGACGGCAUGAUUCUAUUUUGUUGGUUUCUAGGAUCACCGUAAUGAUUAAUAGGGAUAGUUGGGGGCAUUAGUAUUCAAUUGUCAGAGGUGAAAUUCUUGGAUUUAUUGAAGACUAACUACUGCGAAAGCAUUUGCCAAGGAUGUUUUCAUUAAUCAAGAACGAAAGUUAGGGGAUCGAAGACGAUCAGAUACCGUCGUAGUCUUAACCAUAAACUAUGCCGACUAGGAAUCAGACGAUGUAAUUUUUUAAUGACUCGUUUGGCAC